rnacentral:rRNA from 1 species
GAAAGCGUGGGUAGCAAACAGGAUUAGAUACCCUGGUAGUCCACGCUGUAAACGAUGAGUGUUAGGUUCUUGGAAUAAUCUGGGAGCCGCAGCUAACGCAUUAAACACUCCGCCUGGGGAGUACGCACGCAAGUGUGAAACUCAAAGGAAUUGACGGGGACCCGCACAAGCAGCGGAGCAUGUGGUUUAAUUCGAAGCAACGCGAAGAACCUUACCAGGGCUUGACAUACUGAGGACCGGUAUAGAGAUAUACCCUCUUCUUCGGAAGCCUCAAUACAGGUGGUGCAUGGUUGUCGUCAGCUCGUGUCGUGAGAUGUUCAGUUAAGUCUGGCAACGAGCGCAACCCCUAUCUUUAGUUACCAGCAUUUCGGAUGGGGACUCUAAAGAGACUGCCGAUGAUAAAUCGGAGGAAGGUGGGGAUGACGUCAAAUCAUCAUGCCCUAUAUGCCCUGGGCUACACACGUGCUACAAUGGAAGAUACAAAGGGAAGCGAAAUAGUGAUAUUAAGCAAACCUCAAAAAGUCUUUCCCAGUUCGGAUUGUACUCUGCAACUCGAGUACAUGAAGAUGGAGUUGCUAGUAAUCGCAGAUCAGAAUGCUGCGGUGAAUGCGUUCCCGGGUCUUGUACACACCGCCCGUCACACCAUGGAAGCUUGUAAUACCCGAAGCCUGCGAGCAAACCGUAAGGAAGCAGCAGUCGAAGGUAGGAUAGGUGACUGGGGUGAAGUCGUAACAAGGUAGCCGUAUCGGAAGGUGCGGCUG